rnacentral:rRNA from 1 species
GACGAACGCUGGCGGCGUGCUUAACACAUGCAAGUCGAACGCUGAAGCUCAGCUUUUGUUGGGUGGAUGAGUGGCGAACGGGUGAGUAACACGUGAGUAACCUGCCCCCUUCUUUGGGAUAACGCCCGGAAACGGGUGCUAAUACUGGAUAUUCACUGGUCUUCGCAUGGGGGUUGGUGGAAAGGGUUUUUCUGGUGGGGGAUGGGCUCGCGGCCUAUCAGCUUGUUGGUGGGGUGAUGGCCUACCAAGGCUUUGACGGGUAGCCGGCCUGAGAGGGUGACCGGUCACAUUGGGACUGAGAUACGGCCCAGACUCCUACGGGAGGCAGCAGUGGGGAAUAUUGCACAAUGGGCGCAAGCCUGAUGCAGCGACGCCGCGAGGGAUGGAGGCCUUCGGGUUGUGAACCUCUUUCGCUCAUGGUCAAGCCGCAACAAUGGUUGUGGUGAGGGUAGUGGGUAAAGAAGCGCCGGCUAACUACGUG